AGCAAUUUGCUGAUUUCAGCUGUUUUAUGGCAACAUUUAUAAAGUUGACUAAUUUUCUCCACAGAUAUUUUGCCAAUUAGCAUUAAGAAACAAGAGAAUUUAGAAAUAAACUUUUGCUCUUUUCCUAUCCAAAGAAAGUGGUCUUUUGUUUUUAAAAAUCUAUCAUCUUUUUCUUUGAUGAGAGAAAUUAUAUUUGAGGCAUUUAGUUAAUCUGCUAUUCUUUGAAACAUACACAUUCUUAUUUUGGAAAAAUUAAAAACAUUCAUCUCUACAUUCAACAUUCUUUAAGACUGGUGGGAUUGUGAGUUGCAGUAGUAGCAGAAAGAAAAGACAGAACGUGGAAAAAAGCCGUUUCCUUUCUCUUUUUGUUGCAACUUCUAGUCCCUUGUCAUUUGUUUGUCUUUGUCACACUUGCAGGCCUUUCCAACCCCCAGAAUCUAGGGUACUGUUAUACAUAACUAGAAGACUUCUAUGCGCCAGAUUAUUUAAUGCUCCUCAUUCCCUUUGCAUUUGGUGGCACGUCUCCCUCAUGUCUUUGUAUUAAACUGUCAGUCACCAGCAUAGGUAACACAGUACACUUUAAAUUUCUUGUGAAAAUCAGCCCUUGGUCACAUUGUCUUAGCCAUGGGCCAAGGCCUUCAAUUCCAGC
rnacentral:lncRNA from 10 species